UAAUACCGCAUAACGUCGCAAGACCAAAGAGGGGGACCUUCGGGCCUCUUGCCAUCAGAUGUGCCCAGAUGGGAUUAGCUAGUAGGUGGGGUAAUGGCUCACCUAGGCGACGAUCCCUAGCUGGUCUGAGAGGAUGACCAGCCACACUGGAACUGAGACACGGUCCAGACUCCUACGGGAGGCAGCAGUGGGGAAUAUUGCACAAUGGGCGCAAGCCUGAUGCAGCCAUGCCGCGUGUGUGAAGAAGGCCUUCGGGUUGUAAAGCACUCUCAGCGAGGAGGAAGGUGGUGAGCUUAAUACGCUCAUCAAUUGACGUUACUCGCAGAAGAAGCACCGGCUAACUCCGUGCCAGCAGCCGCGGUAAUACGGAGGGUGCAAGCGUUAAUCGGAAUUACUGGGCGUAAAGCGC
rnacentral:rRNA from 1 species